UACGUAGGGCGCGAGCGUUAAUCGGAAUUACUGGGCGUAAAGUGUGCGCAGGCGGCAGAGCAAGUCGAGUGUGAAAGCCCCGGGCUUAACUUGGGAAUUGCGCUCGAAACUACUUUGCUGGAGUGUGGCAGAGGAAGGUGGAAUUCCACGUGUAGCGGUGAAAUGCGUAGAGAUGUGGAGGAACACCAAUGGCGAAGGCAGCCUUCUGGGCCAACACUGACGCUCAUGCACGAAAGCGUGGGGAGCAAACAGG
rnacentral:rRNA from 1 species